AGUGUAUUCUCUUCUGCUAAAAGGUGAAACCAAAGCAGACGAGAGCUCCCACACGGAGGCUGCGGAAGAGAAGCAGGAGGAGGACAGCGACUACCACCGGAGCGACGAGCAGGUGAGCAUCUGCCUGGAGUGCAACAGCAGCAAGCUGCGCGGCCUGAAGCGCAAGUGGAUCCGCUGCUCCGCCCAGGCCACCGUGCUGCACCUGAAGAAGUUCAUCGCCAAGAAGCUCAACCUCUCGUCCUUCAACGAGAGUGUCCCAGGAAGCAGUGAGGCGGGAUGGCCCAGAGACGUGAAUGGGGGGGAGGGGGGUGAUGAGAGAGCUGGUUAAAAUGUGUUGCAGGUUUAAUUUCACCAACGGACAGACGGAUGGACGGACGGGCGGUGGGUGGGAUGACUGGGUGGGGAGGCAGGGAGGUACAAUACUGUCCAGUUGUGAUAAAUGCCGAGAAUAAAACAAAGCCUGGUGACUCGUGGGGUCGGUGGUGGGCUGGGAGCACACAGCCGGGGAGUCACGGGCCCUUCUGCGGGGCAGCACUAAGGCCAGGAUGUGCCUGGUCCGCAGGAGCCAGCUGUGCGUGCAGAGGUGCAAGGAAAGGGCUUUGGGGCCUUAAGCACAGGGUCCGUGAUUUGAGCUGUGGUUUUAAAAUGGUCCCCAAGCUGCGAGGAAAAUGGAUUGUUGGGGUACAGAGAUGGAAGCCAGGGAGGCCAGCUGGGGGCUGUCGGACAGGACGGUCAGGAGAGAGGGACGGGUGGUGAGAAGUGACGGACUUGAGGUACGUUGUAGAGAGAGCAGUGGUGGUGGCCCUGACCCAGCUGUGGCCACAGCCUAAUCCCGAACCUGUGAAUGGAACCUUUUUGGGGAAAAGGUCUUUUCGGAUGUAAGGUCUUGAGAUGAAGUAGCCCUGGGUUAUCUGGUGGACCCUCACGCCAAUUACACGUGUCCUCACAAGGCGAGGCAGGCGAAACCUGAGCCACAGAAGGUGGUGUGAGGACAGAGCCGGGAGGCGGACACAAGCCCGGGACACCAGGGCCCCAGGAGCUGGACAGGCAGGAAGGACCCCCCCCCCCACCCCCACCCCCGAGCCUGGGAGGAGCUCUGCCCGCCGGCAAGUCUGAGAGCGUGACCUUCAGCUGUUUAAGCCGCCAGUUGCCAUAGAAAAUGAAACUAGAUUUUGGGACCAGAAGUGGGGUCCAUGCUGAACAAAUCCCCCAAAAUGUGGGUGUGGCUUUGGAGUCGGGUGACGGGUAGAGACGAGAAGAACGUUGAGAAACACAACUUGAAAAGCCUUGCGGGUCACCUUGAAGGGACGUGUGGGCGUGCGGCCCUCACAGGUGAUUCUGAUGACGGCCCGGGGGAAGCGAGGCGGCUUCUUAGAGGUAGAUGGCGCCAGAAGCGGGUGUGGAAGAACUGGUGCGGCCUCAGAAGGGAACGAGGAGUGUGGUGUGGACACAGAACGUGGCUGGCUGUGUCCUGCCGUGCGUGGGAAGCAGACGUUGGAAGUGACGCACUUGGAUAGUUAGCUGAGAUGUCCAAGCAAAGUACUGAACGCGUGGCCUGGUUUCUCUACGUACAAUAAAGCACGCAGGAGAGACGGGCUCAGAAAGGAACGGCUAAGCAAAAGCAACCCAGCACCUGAUGCUCUUGGACGUCCACGGCCUGUCCAGACGCAAGAAGAUGGGUCUAUCAGGAACGCCAUGUUAGGACGGCAUGCCCGGGGGGAGGCCAGGUGUGGCUGCACAGCCUUCCGCUGCAGAGAGGAGC